UUUACUUUAUUCCCUAAGAUAUCAAGAGCUUGGUUUUUAAAUAUCAACGGAGGUAUCAAAAUAUCUCGCCUUUGACCAAGGGAAUGGCUGGUACGUAGCGUUUGUUGACUAACCGAAGAAUAUAAAUUAUUCAAAAAUUUUAUAUGUGAGACACUAAUUUUUUUUUUGAUGAAAAAUAAUUUAGAUUUAUUCCAUAAAUGGA
rnacentral:lncRNA from 1 species